UACAGAGGGUGCGAGCGUUAAUCGGAAUUACUGGGCGUAAAGCGUGCGCAGACGGUCAUGUAAGUCGGGUGUGAAAGCCCCGGGCUCAACCUGGGAAUUGCAUUCGAGACUGCAUGGCUAGGGUGCGGAAGAGGGAAGCGGAAUUUCCGGUGUAGCGGUGAAAUGCGUAGAGAUCGGGAGGAACACCAGAGGCGAAGGCGGCUCGCUGGACAGGCACUGACACUCAAAUGCGAAAGCGUGGGGAGCAAACAGG
rnacentral:rRNA from 1 species